GACUUCCUUUACAUGCCUUUCUUUACAAGUCUUUCUUACACAUGGCGGUUUACAAUCACGGGCCUCAAGCCGCCUCUGGGCUUGGGCCUGCUACAAGUCUUAUACUAAACCAUCGCCUUGUAUAUUCACUGAGCUUCUUUUAGUAACCCGCCAUUAGGAUUGACCCAGCCCCUCCUGGGCGGGUCAUACCUGGUAGUCAUAUUCCCAACAUUAGGCCCCAAGUUGAUUUGAACUUUGUUCUUGUCAACCUCCAACACUUAGUCGAAAUCCAUCUUCUGUUGUUUUUAAAAGCUCUGUAACCCACCAUGACGUCAUCUUCAGAAAAUUUGGAAAAACGCCACGACGUCAUCUUCAACGGAUCCUUAUCUUAAAUGUUUUCCGAAAAUCGAGGCGUCCAUUUAGCUGGAUAAUCAUUACCUUGGUCUUCCUUGAUUUUCGCGUCUGCCCGUUCACUUAUCCCCUUAUAAAUAGGCUCGGCCAGUCCUUCCUCUUUCUUCUUCUUCCUCCCAUCGCCACCACUCUGCCUCUCGAGCUUCGCCGCCGCCGUAGCGCUCACCGUCUUCCUCAACAUUCGCCGCUGCAUCGCCCUGAGUUCGUCCAGAGAACGGUGGCGAUCCUCCGCAGUAGCCGCGCAUCCGUAAGCUCUUGCCCUUUUCACCCCUUAAAUCUGCAUUAGGGUUUGCGAGUUCUCUUUCCUGUGUUCUUCGCUGUUCGUCAUAGAUUCGUUGCAACUUCUCUACCGCACCCUCUUUCGAUCUAAAAGUAGUGCAGAACUUAUGCGGUAGCUGUUUCUCAUCCAUUUUAGACACUAGCAGACCCCCUUCUCUUGUAUAAAUGCCUCUUUAGAACUGACGAACUCCUCUGUGCUCGUUUUUAGGUCUAACUUUAUUUUUCUUUUCUGAACCAUUUUGAUCCAGAAUAAUAGCCACAGCUUGGGAAACUUGUUUAUCUCAACACUUAGACAAUUUUGAUUCUGGCAACCUUCGAAUACCUUUUAGUCAUGGCGGCUUAUGACUCCGGCUCAUUUUUCCUGUAUAUAUCUUUAGCCCUUUACUUAAGCCGCCAUUACUCAUCUGUACUAUAAUCAUGAAUCUGUAACUCCACCAAUAAUUGAACCGGCAAAUUACUUUCUUUUCAGCUUGCCCUUUUUUCAUCAUGUCGUUUAAAGCGCCAAUAGUCUGCAACUGGGUCCCUUCCAUUGUUACUGAAGAUAACUUGAAAGAAUUUGUCACCAUUGGAUUUUUGCCAGAGAAAAACAUUCUGUCUUAUCGUGCUCCUGACCGAACGAAGAACGGCCUCAGCCCAAAGACGAUGAAGUUUUCGUCUUUACUGAUCACAUGAAUCGGGGUUUCUCACCACCCGGCUCAAAGUUCUUCAGAGCCAUUAUGCACUUUUUCAAACUUCACCCACAAGAUCUUGGACCCAACUCCAUAUCCAAUAUCUACAAAUUUCAAGUUCUUUGUGAGGUAUAUCUUCAAGAAGAACCGAUUGUGGAGCUCUUCAGAGAGUACUUUUACUUGAACCGCCAGAAUGAGUGUACCAACGACCCUAGCUUGGAACUUGGCGGAAUCUCAAUUCAACGCCGAUAAGCUUACUCCUGCUGAACGCAAGAAGCUUAUCCCAUCUAUCAAAAGGAUUCAAGCUUUAUUGGGAAAUGGCCUAACUGGAGUUGACCUGAUCCGUUGCUAGAUCGCGUGGCGGGUCAUCCCUUUAAGCUGCCGAUCCAAAUUGAUGUAUGAAUAUGGCAGAGGCCCAGAUGAUUCUCUGCGUCAUAGCUCUGUACAAUUAACUGAAGAAGACAUUGUUGCGAUGUCAACCAUCCUCGUGAAGGGCAAAUACGAGGACUGCAGUAAAGUUGGAUUAAACCCCUUCUGCAAACUUAACCCGGCACCAGAAGCCAAAUCUGUUUUCUGGAAAGCCAAGUAUGAUCAUGAAGCUGCCAAGAAGGCUAGAGCCGCUGCCAUGGCCGCCAGGAAAACAACCCGGAAGCCAAAGAAGAAGAAGACUGCAUCUGACUUAUUCCACCUGGAUGAUGCUUCUGAGUCGGAGGACGACACGGGGGCCAGCCAGGCCGUGGAAGAAGAGGUAACUAUUUCCUCCGACUCAGCCCCUUUGCCAAGACAGAAACUUCGACUGGUAACCCAGAGUAAGGUUUUCACACCCUUUGGCUUAUUUAGACCCUCAUUUUCUUUUGAAAAAACAACAACAUGAGAGCCGCCGUCAGGCCCGGACUAAUGACGACGAUGAACUGCCUUCCGAUUUACAACAAACUCCUCAAAAACGCCAGAAUGAGGAGGUUUCUCGCUCUUCUAGCGACUCGUCGCAAACUCAAUUUCCGGCUUUCAAGACUGCCCCUGGCGGUCAAGCAAAGUCCAAGAAAGCCAAGGUGAUUAAACCAGCAGAAGACCCAAAAAAUCCUGCACCUGAACCGGCAACAUCAACUCCUCCCACUCAAUCUUAAGCGCCAGAAGACUCGGCUGUCCAUGCUCAAUUGGACCCUCCUGAGCCGUCAGCUGACGAAACCAUUGUCGAUCCAUCCACCGUCAGGCUGCCCGGUUCAGCUAACCCGCCAGCGUCUCCUGACCAUGACGUUCUGAUCACUGGCAGCAGAUUCAUUGAGCCGGGUAAUCCAAUAGUGCUGGCUAGGAACUCUGCCAAACAAGAGGCCUUGGAAAGGCAGAAAGUACGGUUUGAUGUCUCUCACUACGCUCACCUGAACGUUAGUGACGUGUUGUCCGACUAUCUUAGUCAUGUGCAUUCCAGCUGUGACUCAGAAAUUGAGAUGGUCAAGAAAUUGCAACUAAAAUAUGAGGUAUGUUCUCCGGUUUAUAUAUACUCUGCCAGCCCCCAAGUCUUCAGAUUAUGAUGAACCUGAAUGAUCUGUAGACUUAUGGUAUAGGUUGAUACCUUGUCUUUAGAUUUUUCCUAAGUCCAACAGAUUAGUAUAAACUUCACCUAUAGUCCCCAAGGGCUGGCUCAUUUUAUCAUAAAUGAGCCGGUACUUAACUUCAUAAUAGUCUUAAAUCAGUCCAAAUAAGUAGUGUGAUCCGGCUCAACUUAAAAAACUUUCUGAAUGUCAUGCAUUAGCCCCCAAGUGCCAAGCGUUGUUACUUUGUAAAACACUUGGGACUUGAAGCAUAGAAGAGUCAUGUUGCAUAAAAGUUGCUUUGGCAGACAUUAGCCCCCAAGUACCAAGUGGUAUUGCGUUGCAAAGCACUGGGGACUUCAAUCAUUAUAACCUUUAGUUAAAUCUUGACACACAUGUGCAUGUUUGUAGACCGCCCUAACUGAAUUUGGCUCUCAAUUGACGGAUGCAAAGACCCGGCUGGCAGAUCAAGAGGCAGAGAUAAAGAUUGCUAACUCCAAACUCCAGUUGAGUCUAUCUGAAACUGAAAAAUUGAAGACCAGUUUGACCGAGAAGAAGAAAUCAUGGGCCGAUGAGAAGACCUUGCUGGUACAACGUGCCGAGGCAGCAGAGGCGGCUCUUGAGGAGGUUACCACGGAGCUCACCAGCUUAAAAAACCGUGUGUCUCAAAUGGUCUCUGUCAUCUUCGUGUGAUAAAACUGAAGGUGGUUUAUACCUAGGUGGAGCAACUGUACACUGGGGCUCAACGGGCACUUGCUACUAUCUCCCCUGCCAAUCAAGGACCCAACCAUUUGAGUGAUGUUUUGAAGAAGCUAUCCAUCUUACCCGCCAGAUUUCAAGAGGUCAAAAGGUCUUGUGCAAGAGCCGGAGCCCUGACUGCCCUGAGCCGUUCCAAAGCCUGGGUGCCGGAUUUAGACCCGGUGGACGUGGCCAAAGGGUACCCUACCAUGAAGGAAGACGGGACUCCGUUUGAGCAAGAUGACUUUAUUGCCUGUGUGAGGGGAGUUCGUCCUCAGGCUACCAUCUCUUGGUGAGGAGACCAACAUCGACAAAUAUCAGCCGAGUUCUGAUAUGGAGAAUAAGAAGAUGGCGACUCCCUCUUAUAAAGUGACAGAUCUAAUCCCGCCGGUUCGUCAACACACUUUUGCCCCGGAAAUUGACUCGGCCGGUCUAAUUGACGAUGAGGCUGAGUUCAUUGCUCUGAACGGCUUUGACUGGUCCAAUCCCAGCUUCCAAACAGUGGAGGGAGGUGAGCCAGCCAGGGAGGAGUCAUAACCAUCUGAAUAAUCCAGCUUUUUAGCUUAAGACCUCCUUAAGAGAGAAAACAGUCUAACCUUUUGGGAUCUCAAUGCCUUGUAAUAGGUUAGUUUGAAAACUGCAUAUUUUGCCUAUGCCAUCGUGCAUAGAAUGUUGCAUAUGACCUUUUGCCCAUGAUGUCAAUAUAUGCAUUAUAUCCAUGGUCGCAUCUGUAGUGUUUGAAUCUGUUCCUGUAAAAGAUGAAAAAAACUGUCCUGGCGGUUUAGCACCGGACGGGUCAAAACACCCGAUAUAUGACUAUGAAAUUAUCACAGUGGAAAAACAGAACCAGAUGUAAGAUAAACAAGGCUGAAAAAAUCUUUGACUAACGAAAAAACAUAGAGAAGUCUGUUCAUGAAUGACACUGUCAUACCUAUGUUCUUUGAAUCUGGACUGCCGGUUUACAUGACCCUGAUGAUGAGGUUGAUAACCCAAUCUUUUUUAGAAGUCAAUACUUCCAUAUGUCUGAUGAUUGUUAUGCCUUGGUGACUCAUUGUCAAAUAACCGAGCCGGUUUAAUUUGAAAUCAUACUGACAGUUAGAUUUGAGACGAUAAAAAACAGUAAGACAAAACACUAGGCUUCAGACAAUAUAAAUCAAACAUUUAAAUAAAAACUGGAGGCUUCUGAUUGGAAUACGAUCAGUAAACCGGACCAAAGGGGUUAAGCUAAGAUUCGAAUACGAUCAUAUAGCCCCCAGUGGCUUUGGUCUUGCGCCGAUCAAGAGGGUACCAACAGUUAUGUUCUCUUUGGUUCGAAUACGACCUAUGUUUGAACCGG